GACACAGCCAGCUUGGCCUAGCGCCGGUGUUUGUGGCCUGGGCCAUCGUGGCAGCGCGGCAGCUUCCUCUUUGUGGCUGGGCCGCUGCCAGUGUGCUGCUCGUGCCCGGUGCUCUUGCUGUUAGUGGUGGUGCAGGCGGGCGCUGGGCACUUGGCUGGCUCGGUGCUGUCCUCGUGGUGCACGUCUGCCAGCCGGCAGGAGAUGCAUCCGGGUGGCAGUGCCAGGCGGGUGAGAACCACCCGGGGCUGCCUCCGCUGCACCUCUUGGAUCAGACGUGCAGCGCGGGGCAACAGAGGUGCGGGGGCAGCCAGGGGGGUCGGCAGUGCCAGGCGGGUGAGAACCACCCGGGGCUGCCUCCGCUGCACCUCUUGGAUCAGACGUGCAGUGCGGGGCGACGGAGGCGCAGGGGCAGCCAGGGGCGUCGGCACGGGCAGCUCAGGGGAUGCUGGCUGCCAGCAGAGCGAGUUGCUGAGGAGCCCUGAUUCAGGAUGUGUCUC
ensembl:lncRNA